rnacentral:rRNA from 1 species
UACGUAGGCAGCGAGCGUUGUUCGGAGUUACUGGGCGUAAAGGGUGUGUAGGCAGUUGUUUAAGUUUGGUGUGAAAUCUCCCGGCUCAACUGGGAGGGUGCGCCGAAUACUGAAUGACUAGAGUGCGGGAGAGGAAAGUGGAAUUCCUGGUGUAGCGGUGAAAUGCGUAGAUAUCAGGAGGAACACCGGCUGGUGGUAGACGCUU